rnacentral:rRNA from 1 species
AUUGAACGCUGGCGGCAGGCCUAACACAUGCAAGUCGAGCGGAUGAAGGGAGCUUGCUCCUGGAUUCAGCGGCGGACGGGUAAGUAAUGCCUAGGAAUCUGCCUGGCAGUGGGGGAUAACGUCCGGACACGGGCGCUAAUACCGCAUACGUCCUGAGGGAGAAAGUGGGGGAUCUUCGGACCUCACGCUAUCAGAUGAGCCUAGGUCGGAUUAGCUAGUUGGUGGGGUAAAGGCCUACCAAGGCGACGAUCCGUAACUGGUCUGAGUGGAUGAUCAGUCACACUGGAACGGAGACAAGGUCCAGACGCCUACGGGAGGCAGCAGUGGGGAAUAUUGGACAAUGGGCGAAAGCCUGAUCCAGCCAUGCCGCGUGUGUGAAGAAGGUCUUCGGAUUGUAAAGAACUUUAAGUUGGGAGGAAGGGCAGUAAGUUAAUACCUUGCUGUUUUGACGGUACCAACAGAAUAAGCGCCGGCUAACUACGUG